rnacentral:rRNA from 1 species
GCAGCAGUGGGGAAUAUUGCACAAUGGGCGCAAGCCUGAUGCAGCCAUGCCGCGUGUGUGAAGAAGGCCUUCGGGUUGUAAAGCACUUUCAGCGGGGAGGAAGGCGGUGAGGUUAAUAACCUCACCGAUUGACGUUACCCGCAGAAGAAGCACCGGCUAACUCCGUGCCAGCAGCCGCGGUAAUACGGAGGGUGCAAGCGUUAAUCGGAAUUACUGGGCGUAAAGCGCACGCAGGCGGUCUGUCAAGUC